rnacentral:lncRNA from 1 species
CCUGGCUCCAACAUCCCAGGGAAUUGUGUCACUCCCAUUGAGCAGCUGUGGGGCCCUCUCCCACAUGGCCCAGGUCCACCACUCUGUCAAAGGUCGCACAGCCCAGACAAAAACAGGACACAGCAGUGUGUGAAUGAGCCGGGCUUUCUCCUUCCCUCCACGUAAUAGAAGGUGCCUGAGGUUGUUGAAACACAGUCCAUUUCUCCUGGGAAUGACAAGAAUUUGAGGGAUGCUGACUUUCAAGGAAUACUGCAUGACAGGCAUCAAGAUAAACCUGAUGAAGAAAACAUAGGCCAGAAUCUGGGAAUCGGGAGCAAAGUAAUACAGCUUCGGGGACAGGCACGUAAUGAGGUCAUGAUGUAGGAGACUCCCUGCAGGACUGGCGGCCCCUGUUCCCUGGGUUGUUCUGGCUCUUUCAGUGCAGGGACGCAAACACAGGAAGAGCCCCCAUGGCCCUCGCUGGGAAAGACGGGCUCACUCGUUGCACGUGAGCACUGCA